rnacentral:rRNA from 1 species
GCUUCCCUCUUUCUUCGUGCUUAACACAUGCAAGUCGAACGAUGAAGCCCAGCUUGCUGGGUGGAUUAGUGGCGAACGGGUGAGUAACACGUGAGUAACCUGCCCUUAACUCUGGGAUAAGCCUGGGAAACUGGGUCUAAUACCGGAUAGGAGCGUCCACCGCAUGGUGGGUGUUGGAUAGAUUUAUCGGUUUUGGAUGGACUCGCGGCCUAUCAGCUUGUUGGUGAGGUAAUGGCUCACCAAGGCGACGACGGGUAGCCGGCCUGAGAGGGUGACCGGCCACACUGGGACUGAGACACGGCCCAGACUCCUACGGGAGGCAGCAGUGGGGAAUAUUGCACAAUGGGCGCAAGCCUGAUGCAGCGACGCCGCGUGAGGGAUGACGGCCUUCGGGUUGUAAACCUCUUUCAGUAGGGAAGAAGCGAAAGUGACGGUACCUGCAGAAGAAGCACCGGCUAACUACGUG